rnacentral:lncRNA from 1 species
CACAGAUUCAGGUUUCGUGAACCUUCCAAAAAUCCAAGAAGAGUCACAGUCACGUUUCUCCUUAAAUUGUCAAGAACAGUUAUUGCCCGAGUCUUUAAAUGUACAUGAAGAUUCACCCCAACUAAUCUCAGAAAGGCAGAAGACCGCUGUGUCUGCUAGAGGCAGUAUCCGAGGACAAGAUCAUUCUUUACCAUUGUGUGAAAACAAUACAUUGCCAUCAGUUUUACCUCCCAAAAAUCAAGAUGUGGCUCCUCUUAAAAGCUCCCUGACCAGUCCUAAAAAACCUUCUGAAUCUCAGGAUGCUGAAGAAGUUUCUGUUUUCCCUAUUGAAAAGAUAACCACUUUGGAGACCCAGGAAAAAAUGUUUGCAGCUGUUACUCAAGAAGAUAAAAAGGCAUCUAUUCCAGUUCUUCCUGUCACACACACUACAACUGUAACUUUGGAAACUCACUUGCUUGAGGAAAAAAAUCUUCCAUGCGCUCAAGAAGUAGCUGUUAAAGGAGGACUUCCAUUAAUAACUCAAAUGAAUAAAAUGCAGCAAGCAUCAACGCUUUCACUAGCAGAAGCAGACCUGAACACUGGGAAGAAAACAGCCGAGCUUUUGCACAGUAUGCUUGCUAAGCUGUCACCAGGUAUAGAUGAUCUGCAAGACAUGGAAGCUUUUGAAGACAGUGAAAUAGAGAGCAGUGCUGAACAGCAAGUAUAUGACAUCCCACAAACAAGACGACUUCUACUGUCAAGUCUGGAACCAACUCUGACAGGCCUGCAAAUGGCAGAAGGUAAUAUAAUUAGCUUGCCAGCCAGCAUAAAUAGUGAGGACAGAGUUAGAACUGGAGCCUACGUUUGUAAUUUGGGUAAACUUCUGAGGUCUUUUUGUUUGGCUAGUUAGAUAUUGUUCUUUCUACUAAGGAGUUUAGUAACGGAAUGAGGGAAUUGGCCUUCUGUAAUGUGAAGAUCAACUGAUCCAAAAUAAUUUCUGGAAUUCUUUCUUUAAAUGUCCUCUAUAAUAAGUUAUAUGAAAACAAUAUCUCUCUCUUCUCAUUUGGGUAUGAAGUUACAAAUGAUACUGGUAACAGACUUUCCUCAUUAUAAUUGAUUGUGACUACAUACACUUGAAAAUAAAAUGAAAGGAUUUAUUUUAAAU